GACAUUGGAAGUGGUUGGUUCUACGAGAUCACCAAGAAAGAGGAAAAUCAAUUAGAAGUAGCUGUUUAAAAAGUUGGGAGCAUGAUAUGUUCUAUUACUUUUUGUUGGUAUGAUACUCUCGAAUUUAAGAUCAAGAGAUGGAAUUUGUUGUUUGUAUUUUCUGCAAGUAUUUAAGAUGUGGGAAUGGAACUGUUAAGGCCGCAAGCACUCUGGGCAACAGUUUUCUGUGCUUUGGAGUACAAUUGAUGUUUGAAAAGAAGUGCAGUUGGCCUUAUGUUCGCCUAAUCUGUUGUUUAUAGACAAGGCUCUGUCGUCAAUAACAAGCCAAG
rnacentral:lncRNA from 1 species